rnacentral:rRNA from 1 species
GUGGGGAAUUUUGCGCAAUGGGGGAAACCCUGACGCAGCAACGCCGCGUGAGUGAUGAAGGCCUUCGGGUCGUAAAGCUCUGUCAGAGGGGAAGAAGUGUGGGGUGGCUAAUAUCCAUUUCACUUGACGGUACCUUCAAAGGAAGCACCGGCUAACUCCGUGCCAGCAGCCGCGGUAAUACGGAGGGUGCGAGCGUUGUUCGGAAUUAUUGGGCGUAAAGCGCGUGUAGGCGGUUUUUUAAGUCUGAUGUGAAAGCCCUGGGCUCAACCCGGGAAGUGCAUUGGAAACUGGGAGACUUGAAUACGGGAGAGGGCAGUGGAAUUCCUGGUGUAGGAGUGAAAUCCGUAGAUAUCAGGAGGAACACCGGUGGCGAAGGCGGCUGCCUGGACCGAUAUUGACGCUGAGACGCGAAAGCGUGGGGAGCAAACAGGAUUAGAAACCCCGGUAGUCC